rnacentral:rRNA from 1 species
CUACGGGUUGCACCAGUGGGGAAUUUUGCGCAAUGGGCGGAAGCCUGACGCAGCAACGCCGCGUGAGGGAUGAAGGUCUUCGGAUUGUAAACCUCUGUCAAGUGGGAAGAACCCUGACGGUACCACUGGAGGAAGCCCCGGCUAACUCCGUGCCAGCAGCCGCGGUAAUACGGAGGGGGCAAGCGUUGUUCGGAAUCAUUGGGCGUAAAGCGUAUGUAGGCGGCCGGAUAAGUCAGGCGUGCAAGCCCAUGGCUUAACCAUGGAAUUGCGUCUGAAACUAUCUGGCUUGAGGACAGGAGAGGAAAGCGGAAUUCCCAGUGUAGCGGUGAAAUGCGUUGAUAUUGGGAAGAACACCGGUGGCGAAGGCGGCUUUCUGGCCUGUUUCUGACGCUGAGAUACGAAAGCCAGGGGAGCGAACGGGAUUAGAUACCCUGGUAGUC